AUAAACGCAUGUGCCUCUGAUUGCAGCGUUACGGAGAUCCACGUCAGUUGUGGCUGGUUCAGCUCGGUCAGACUGGUUAACCCUAGAGUUUUCAGGCGACUCUCCUACGAUGAUUGUCUGGUCAAUGAUGGUCAACCUCUUUCUCCUGGACAGACACUCUCCUUUCAGUAUGCUAACAGCUUCUCUUACCCUCUCUCUGUCUCUUCAGUCUCUUGCUUCUAAUUUUAGACGUAUUUUCCACGGAACUGUGCUUCAGUUUUCAUCAAACCAAGAUGUUGGAUUGAGUUUGUGUUCUUCAAACCAAGGUCUUGGUUAGCCUACUAUUGUAAGCCAGUUUAAGUUUAUUAGUGUUAAUGUGGCAUUGGUGAUUGUGUUCAAAAUUACUUAGGGGAGACAAAAAGAGUUGAUUUAAUUUAAACAACUUUACAUUUGAAGAUGGUAAUGAUGAUGUUAAUCAUCACCAUCCAAACAAAGCUUAUAAACACAAGCUUCUUUCUUGUUUUCAUGGAUACCAUGUUCCGGAAUAUCUGAAGAUGGAGAAAAUAAACAGAUGGUGAUAGCAUCAAAGAACAUGAAAUGUAAGAAGAUCUAAAAACGUCCUUUAGGUCCCGGACUAAAAAAAAAUCUAAUUGUGACAGCAAUAGGAAAAAGUCUAAUAAUUAUAGUUUCUCAGCAAAUAUAUAGGGCAAAUCUCCAAAAUAGCACAUUUCUAAGUUUAUAUCACAAAAAUAGCAUUCCAAAACUAAAAUGACCAAAAUAGCACCUUUCUAAGUUUAUCCUUUGAAAAUUUUAAUUUUUUUAUUUUUCAAAAUUUGAAAUCUUAUCCCCAAAACCUCAUUUCUCAACUCUAAACCCUAAACCCUAAACCCUAAACCCUAAACUCUAAACCCUAAACCCUAAACUCUAAACCCUAAACCCUAAACUCUAAACCCUAAACCCUAAACCCUAAACUGUAAACCAUAAACCCUAAACUCUAAACCCUAAACCCUAAAAUCUUGUUGUCUUUCAAGGCUCAACGGUUCCACUUCCAAACGGAGUACCAGCAUUUACAGUUGAGAUCAUAAACGCAUGUGCCUCUGAUUGCAGCGUUGCGGAGAUCCACGUCAGUUGUGGCUGGUUCAGCUCGGUCAGACUGGUUAACCCUAGAGUUUUCAGGCGACUCUCCUACGAUGAUUGUCUGGUCAAUGAUGGUCAACCUCUUUCUCCUGGACAGACACUCUCCUUUCAGUAUGCUAACAGCUUCUCUUACCCUCUCUCUGUCUCUUCAGUCUCUUGCUUCUAAUUUUAGACGUAUUUUCCACGGAACUGUGCUUCAGUUUUCAUCAAACCAA
rnacentral:lncRNA from 1 species